GAGAAAUAUCAAGUGAAGCAUCUCAAAAGUUUCUGCGAGAAGUUCAUAACAUCCAAAGUGAAUAACGAUAAUGCGAUCGCUAGCUACGCAUUCGCUCAUAGGCACAACGCAAGGCAAGUGCUCGAGGCUGCCCUAUCUGUUAUCAUGGACAACAUGGGGACACUUACCGAGCGAGACGAGUACAAGGAGCUAGUGGAGAAGGACCCGAGACUU
rnacentral:misc_RNA from 1 species